CCUACGGGCCGCACCAGUGGGGAAUAUUGCACAAUGGGCGCAAGCCUGAUGCAGCCAUGCCGCGUGUAUGAAGAAGGCCUUCGGGUUGUAAAGUACUUUCAGCGGGGAGGAAGGCGAUAAGGUUAAUAACCCUGUCGAUUGACGUUACCCGCAGAAGAAGCACCGGCUAACUCCGUGCCAGCAGCCGCGGUAAUACGGAGGGUGCAAGCGUUAAUCGGAAUUACUGGGCGCAAAGCGCACGCAGGCGGUCUGUCAAGUCGGAUGUGAAAUCCCCGGGCUCAACCUGGGAACUGCAUUCGAAACUGGCAGGCUAGAGUCUUGUAGAGGGGGGUAGAAUUCCAGGUGUAGCGGUGAAAUGCGUAGAGAUCUGGAGGAAUACCGAUGGCGAAGGCAGCCAUCUGGCCUAACACUGACGCUGAGGUGCGAAAGCAUGGGGAGCAAACAGGAUUAGAUACCCGAGUAGUC
rnacentral:rRNA from 1 species